CAGCAGCCACGGUAAUACGGAGGGUGCAAGCGUUAAUCGGAAUUACUGGGCGUAAAGCGCACGCAGGCGGUCUGACAAGUCAGAUGUGAAAUCCCCGGGCUUAACCUGGGAACUGCAUUUGAAACUGUCAGGCUGGAGUCUUGUAGAGGGGGGUAGAAUUCCAGGUGUAGCGGUGAAAUGCGUAGAGAUCUGGAGGAAUACCGGUGGCGAAGGCGGCCCCCUGGACAAAGACUGACGCUCAGGUGCGAAAGCGUGGGGAGCAAACAGGAUUAGAGACCCCAGUAGUCCCUGUCUCUUAUAC
rnacentral:rRNA from 1 species